rnacentral:lncRNA from 1 species
GGAGGAAUCAAGGUGUCCGCUAAGGGUUGGGGUAGCUGGCGGCGGCAUGGGUUUUGGGGAGGAGACUAGGGUUUCCUGUUUUGGACGACUAGAUGUCCAUUCAUAGGCAAUGGUGGCUAUGGGAGGGGGGUUUACUUCAUUUUCGGACCGUUUGUUCUCAAUCGGGAGGUCCAAAACGGUGGACAGAUAGAUGGGUUGUGGGUUCUGUUGGAGAGGGGAUGGGACGAGAACAGAUGGAAGCUGGCGGCCCUGCACAAUGUUUAAAAUACCGAAACGUGUGCUAAUUAAAUCGGCU